AAAGGCAUCCACGUCAGAUUUUUAUAAAUGAUUGUGGGACCCACAGAUAUUUUUUUUAAAUUAUUUUUACGAGGUUUAAUGUUUGUUUGUUAUUUCUGAUAGUUUUGUGGGCUUUUAUGGAUACUUUGUAGUGGGCCAUAUAUAAAAUUCGAAUUGUCUCUACAGAAAGCAUAUUAGUCGCCUUAUGUUCCAUCAAAACGACACACCUCACACACGCAUACGUAACUUUUAUACUUCCCAAAUUAAAUCGAUAAUCUGUUCAUCUUCCUCUGUUGCUACAUCUCCCAGUUCUGUCCUAUAUAUAUAUAGUUCAUCGGGCCGUAUAUCUCAUAUCUUCCCAGAGUUUUUUGAACCGUCGCAGAUUUCAUCUCAGCCUCGAAAUGUCAUCCUUUCGUCAUCUGUUUUUCAUCCCUAAACAACUAUUGAUGACUUCCUGACGGCUGCUCCCGUGAUCAAUCUUCAGAAAUUCAUGGUUAGGAAGUUUGACCAUCUCCAAGCUCUUGCAAAGACAAAGACGAACUUAGAAUCCCUGGUAAUAUUAAAGUAUUUUUUAAGAUUGUCCCACCCACAUAACUAUUCCACCACCAUCGAUUUGUAUUUGGUUUCUGAUCCGUUUUGGCAGUAAUGUAUGUUAAUUUUUAAGAAACCAAUGAUUUGAUUUGUCUUUUUCAAAAAAAAAAGAAAAAGAAACCAAUGAUUUGUUCUUCAGUGCUCUGGUUACAAAUUACUAACCCUGGGAGGACUUCAAUGAUUUGUUGGUACAUUCAGUUACUUAGAAUCCGAGGGGACAGAGCUUACUUAUGGUUCUUUUGAUCAAAAGGUGCGUGAUUGGAACUCUGAACCUCGCACUCAUAUAUAUGAUUUAACAAUAAUUAAUCUGAGUUUCUCUGCAACUGAUUACUGAUGCAAUGAGAUUUCAAGUGGUCUAUCUGCAAUAGGUUACAAGUAUAUCAAUUAAGUAUAACAAAUAAGACUCUUUGGUGUUUGUUACUUUGUUUUACUUUUUUUUUUGAGCAACACUUUAUUUUACUUAUCUCUAUGUUUUCUAAUAUUUGUGUACUGUUUUCUCUGUGUUUAUAUAUGAUUUUUGGGGUGAACUUAAGAUUCUCAGGUUAUAGAAACAUCCAAAGGAAACCUGUUAGUGAAUUGGUUGAUCAUAUGGAAACAUCGAAGUCAAAGGAGGAAACAAACGACUUGGUAGCAACCAGGGAGAUCUCAUUACAGGACAAGUCCCAUACAGAUAUGCAAACAGCUGUUCCUUCUGCAGCAAAGGAAUGAAAUCUAUAGAAGUUACUACUCUAGAAGAUGAGUACGACAAAAAAAUUAAUUCAUGGGUCCAAGAAAAACAAAAGCCAGCGAGGAAAGGGGGGAGUCACUGAAGCAGCUGCAGCAAGCAACUCAAGAGGCUGAUGAAGCGAGAUCAUUCUGAACUUGCUUGUGAAGAGCUGCGAAAGUUUCAAGAAGAAGAAGAGGAAGAAGAGGCUGGACCAAGUACCAUGGAGAGCAGUUUGUUUGCAGCUUAGAAAGAAGAUGAUGCUGCUAAAACUUCAAAGAGCCAAACAAUGACCCUAGAUGAGUAAUAUGAGCUUAGCAAGUGUGCUCACGAGACUGAAGAAUAAGCCAGCACAAAGGUUGCAGCAGAAAUUCUGAGAUGUGAGGAAGCCUAAGAAACAGAGAUGAGAAGCUAAGAACGGUUGCGAGAAUGAGAACGUGAAAUAAAGCAACAUGAUUUGUACUAAUUACACAAAGAAGGCUGUUCACUACUACAAAUAGUUUCUUAAAACUGCCUCAACAUAUCACCAUCAGAUCAGAAUAAAAGCCACUGUGUAUUUAUGGAGGAUUAUGUUCGCUUUUAAGGUUUAAUAACUAUAUAUAUUUGUCAGGUUCAAGCCAAUGUUGAAAGAAAAUUAAAGAGCCAUGAGUUGGCUUCAGCCACCAAAGAGUUCAUUUAGUUUGCACUAUGCUUUCUGGUUUGCAAUCUGCAGACAAACAUGCUUCUUAGUUGUUUCCUCGCUUUACUUAUAAAUUGAAAAACUGCUCACUGUAGG